rnacentral:lncRNA from 1 species
AGAAAUGCUCCUCAUACUGCACAUCCUAAGGAGAGCUUCUGAUCAUGCCAUUCCAAAUCAGACUGUGAUCAAGCAGAAGACAACUGGCCAAAUCAGCUGGGUAGCUUGAAGGACCAAUUACUAUGGAUGUUUGCCACUGAAAAUACGUCAUUAUGAACCAUCUGUGCAUCGUCUUCAAGAUGAUCCUCCAUCCUGUCAACUAGAACUAAUAAAAAUCCAAUAUUCUCUCA